rnacentral:rRNA from 1 species
AGUGAAUAGAUACCCGGGUAGUCCUAGCCGUAAACGAUACUCGCUAGGUGUCGGCCACGGUGCGACCGUUGUCGGUGCCGUAGGGAAAGCCGUGAAGCGAGCCACCUGGGAAGUACGGCCGCAAGGCUGAAACUUAAAGGAAUUGGCGGGGGAGCACCACAACGGGUGGAGCUUGCGGUUUAAUUGGAUUCAACGCCGGAAAUCUUACCGGGACCGACAGCAAUAUGAAGGCCAGGCUGAAGACUUUGCCGGAUUAGCUGAGAGGUGGUGCAUGGCCGUCGUCAGUUCGUACUGUGAAAGCAUCCUGUUAAGUCAGGCAACGAGCGAGACCCACGCCCACAGUUGCCAGCGUACUCUCCGGAGUGACGGGUACACUGUGGGGACCGCCGCUGCUAAAGCGGAGGAAGGAAUGGGCAACGGUAGGUCAGUAUGCCCCGAAUAUCCCGGGCUACACGCGAGCUACAAUGGUUGGUACAAUGGGUAUCUACCCCGAAAGGGGAUGGAAAUCUCCUAAAGCCAAUCUUAGUUCGGAUUGAGGGCUGCAACUCGCCCUC